GCCCAAGUGUUGAAAUUGGUAUACAAACUUGACUCAAAAUCAAGCGGUGAUAAGCCAUGCCGGUUCGAGUCCGGCCUUGGGCA
rnacentral:tRNA from 1 species